CCUUCCUUUUUUGGUUGGGUGCUCGAGUGGCGAACGGGUGAGUAUUACGUGAGUAACCUGCCCUCAACUGUGGGAUAAGCCUGGGAAACUGGGUCUAAUACUGCAUAUUCUUCUUUCACCGCAUGGUGGGGGUUGGAAAGUUUUUUCGGUUGGGGAUGGGCUCGCGGCCUAUCAGCUUGUUGGUGGGGUGAUGGCCUACCAAGGCGGUGACGGGUAGCCGGCCUGAGAGGGUGGUCGGCCACAUUGGGACUGAGAUACGGCCCAGACUCCUACGGGAGGCAGCAGUGGGGGAUAUUGCACAAUGGGCGCAAGCCUGAUGCAGCGACGCCGCGUGAGGGAUGAAGGCUUUCGGGUUGUAAACCUCUUUCGGUACAGAACAAGGCACGUUUUUUGCGUGUGGAGGGUAUGUGCAGAAGAAGCGCCGGCUAACUACGUGCCAGCAGCCGCGGUAAUACGUAGGGCGCGAGCGUUGUCCGGAAUUAUUGGGCGUAAAGGGCUCGUAGGCGGCUUGUUGCGCCUGCUGUGAAAACGCGGGGCUUAACUCCGCGCGUGCAGUGGGUACGGGCAGGCUUGAGUGUGGUAGGGGUGACUGGAAUUCCAGGUGUAGCGGUGGAAUGCGCAGAUAUCUGGAGGAACACCGAUGGCGAAGGCAGGUCACUGGGCCAUUACUGACGCUGAGGAGCGAAAGCGUGGGUAGCGAACAGGAUUAGAUACCCUGGUAGUCCACGCUGUAAACGUUGGGAACUAGGUGUGGGGCCCUUUUCCGGGGUUCUGCGCCGUAGCUAACGCAUUAAGUUCCCCGCCUGGGGAGUACGGCCGCAAGGCUAAAACUCAAAGGAAUUGACGGGGGCCCGCACAAGCGGCGGAGCAUGCGGAUUAAUUCGAUGCAACGCGAAGAACCUUACCAAGGCUUGACAUACACCGGGAGCAUGCAGAGAUGUGUGUGCCUUUUUGGCUGGUGUACAGGUGGUGCAUGGUUGUCGUCAGCUCGUGUCGUGAGAUGUUGGGUUAAGUCCCGCAACGAGCGCAACCCUUGUCUCGUGUUGCCAGCGCGUUAUGGUGGGGACUCACGAGAGACUGCCGGGGUUAACUCGGAGGAAGGUGGGGAUGACGUCAAAUCAUCAUGCCCCUUAUGUCUUGGGCUUCACGCAUGCUACAAUGGCCGGUACAGUGGGUUGCGAUACUGUGAGGUGGAGCGAAUCUCUGAAAGCCGGUCUCAGUUCGGAUC
rnacentral:rRNA from 1 species